ACUAUAUCCUCUUACUAUUCAUGACCCUUAUUAAGAGACAGAUAUCACAGAAAAGCCGUUGAGAACAUGUCUAGAUCAUUUUUUAGCUUAACUUCGAAUUUUUAAGACCAUUGGGACAUUUUUUAAUGACAAUCAUAUUUUCCUUUUCUAUUCUUGAGUUUGGUUCAGUGACAAUCUCAUUUUUCUGGACAUUCUUUGGAGGUUUUGUUUUUAUUUCCUGACUUUCAUGAAAGUUCAAUCACAUGACACUUGAUGUAUAAUCUUCCAGCCAGUCAUGGCACAAGCUGAUUGGUUAUCUACUUUUAAUCUGUCAACCAGUCAGCUUGCAUCCUGUGCAAACGAGCUAAUAGGCAAUUAAUUUGUCAGCCAAUGACAUUGCAUGCACCUUAUACCACUAACAUUUAAAUAGCCAGCUUCAAGCAUUUGCUGUAAGAUGGUUCACUGCAGUGUCAACAGUUUUCUGGCUCAUGGACUUUAUUAAACUUGCUAUGUGAUAUCCUGCCUUUGCUAAUGGUAAGCUUUGGCCUUCUUGAUGUUGUAUAGAAGUUUCUUGCUAGGCAUUGGGCUCCAAUGAUGUUUGUUUCCUGAAGUUCAUGAAAAUCUUGUGCUCUGCAGAAGUAAUACAGGUUUGGUGUGACAUGAGGGGUGCCUUUGCAAGUCUCUCCAUCUCCAAUAAAGCCAAGCCUACAAGUGCAGUUCCUCUCCAGAGGUCCUGUCAUGGUACAUUGAGCAUACCUGUGGCAUCCUCCAUUUUUCUGACAAAACAAGUAAUUGUGAGGCACUGUGCCA